rnacentral:rRNA from 1 species
UACGUAGGGUUCAAGCGUUAAUCGGAAUUACUGGGCGUAAAGCGUGCGCAGGCGGCUUUGCAAGACAGAUGUGAAAUCCCCGGGCUUAACCUGGGAACUGCAUUUGUGACUGCAUGGCUGGAGUGCGGCAGAGGGGGAUGGAAUUCCGCGUGUAGCAGUGAAAUGCGUAGAUAUGCGGAGGAACACCGAUGGCGAAGGCAAUCCCCUGGGCCUGCACUGACGCUCAUGCACGAAAGCGUGGGGAGCAAACAGG